GCAGUUGUCCUUGCCUAGCUUCCCCUUUCCUGUUCACAGCGAUCACCUUCUAGGUCCUCGGGGGUCCUCAGAAAGCCCACAACUUCCACAAGAUCCUCAAGUUCUAGUCAGAGCCCAACCACUGCUGCGCAAACUGCUGCGUCUGUUCGCUGCCUCUGUUAGCUGCGCUCUCUUUAUCUGCCAAGAACAUAGAACAUGAAAUGAAGUAGCAGAGAUUAGGACUGGAAAUGCUGAUUAAAUUUAUUACAGCUUAGACUGGUGAGUCUGAGGCUUUUCCAACCAUGUUUUUCUACACUCUACAUUGUACAGACUUUGCGGAUCAAAUUCUGACUCCAGAAGCUCAUGUGAGUCUCUCACUAAAGUCAAAAAGACACACGCACAAGCGUCUGGAGGCAUAAUUUGGUCUCCUGAAUUUACAAAAGCACCAAUAUUACCCUCAGUGAGUUGGUCCUCUUCAGUAAUAUGUUCUUUCUUGAUGAUUUCCACUACAGAGCUGUCAUUGCCCUCUACCAGCCCACUGUUCUCCGCUGGUCCUGGCGAUGGUGACCCAGUGUCUUCCCCUGGCGCUGGUGGGGAAGGCCCAGUGCUCUCCUCUCGCCAUGCAGAUGGCAGCCCAGUGCUCUCCUCCGAUCCCACGGGCAGGGGCUCAUUGCCCUCCGGCUCCUCCCUUUUGCUGACUGAAUCAAUCUUUUCUUCCAGUGCCAGAAUGAGAACAGCCUCACCUCCUGGGAGAUGCUCUGCCGGUUUUGUCUCCUCAGAGGCGAGACUCACAUCUUCCACUGGGUCCAGCUUUGUUUGGUCAGGAUAUGACAUACUGGAGGGGCCAACAUCUACAAGUGCAGCAUUUGGGCUCUCAUAAAAAGGGUUUCCAAACUUCCCUUGGAGCAAAGAGCCAAAUAUAAUAAAUAUGAAAAUAAAGUUUUAUUUAAUAUUUGA
rnacentral:lncRNA from 1 species